GGAGAAGAAAAAUUCUUCACAGCUGCAGCAGCUAUUUCAAUCCCUCUUUGACAGAUCUUUAAUAUGACACUCUUGUCUCCCUGGAAGAACCAGAUCCCACUAGCAUGGAGGGUGAUCUGAACUGAAGUUCCUGGGGUCAUUCACAUGAACAAAGACUGCUGAGUGCAAUUACUGGCCUGUGCACACUUACCUCCCAUGUACAAAAUCACAGGAAAUGAGGUAAUCCCGAGGAAAGCCCAGGAGUUAUUAGCUCCAGACUCUUCAAACAUUAUUCUCUCUCCACCUGCUAGCAGAUGGUGUAAGUGAAGCCACAUGGAGAAUUACCCAUCAGGAGACAGACCUCCUUUGUCUGCUGUUUCAUCAACAGUUCCUACAGAAGUAAAUCUAGGGAGUAUACCAAGUCUUGCGCAAAUUUCUAGAAGAAUAACCCACCCGGGACCAUGAGACAAAAAGACACCGGCUCUGUCGCAGGAAAUCUUCAAUCUACAAAUUGCUGCAGGAGUGCAGCAGGGAAGCCAAAGUUGAUGCUUCUCGGGCUAGCAGUGCUGGUGACGAUUUUAACCAGGUGGUUUCACAGAAAGCCAGCCUCUUUCCUGUUAGCCCCCACCAAGACUCUUGAGGAAGUACAAAUGGAUCCCAGACCAUGCAGCAGGCGUGGAGGAGGAAGCAGCGGUGGCUGUAGCUGGUGCUGGCUGUCUCAAACAAGCAGUGCAGGAAAUGUCAGACCCUGCGCUGAAGCAGCACAUUUCCAAGUGACAAUCACACAUGCUGUCUGCCAGGAAAACACUUAUUCAGAGGACUUGGUUACAGUUUUCACAGAGAAAAUCUGUUCAGAUUGCUUCAAGACAGUUCUCAGUUGUCUUUGGGGACCUGAAAAGAGCCUUGAAAUGCAAGGAGGAGAUGAUGAAUCAGACCAAGAAAGGUCCCAUGAUACUACCAGAUCAAUUUGACAAACCCCAGAGCUUAUUACAUCAUUUGGACAAGUGUCAUCUGAAUAGCUGAAUGCUUUUCUGAGACAACUCCCUGGGGCAGAUGAAUGCGAUUCAGCUAUUACUACCACUGAGUCUGAUUUGCUGUCAUUCUGGCUGGAAGCAAGAGGAAAGUCCACUAGAAAUAACAGCCCCAGAAUUAUAGGACCAGGGAUAGAUUAGAAAGGAGUUAUUGCUGGCACUUCCUGUUCUCUUUUGGCCCACACAGCUAUUUAUUAUUCACUUUCCUCUGUGUCUGGAUUUAUCUGAUGACUGACAUUCCAAUACAAAUUGAAAUUUAAGCUUUAGAUAUAUGUACAUAGUUGCCUCUUCAGGCUGAGACGCUGUGAGUUAAUGGUUAGUCCCUCAAUGUCAAACAGAAGAGGAGCCAGACUGUGAGGGAAGAAAGUGGUAUUAUAUUUGGCAGAUGUUCUCAGUCUUCACAGCAAAGACAUGACACUUACAGUAAGUAGAAUUUCCCACAAAUUAAUGAAAUGUUCUGCAAACUUGCCUGUCUGUCCUUUUAAGUCCUUGAGGUUUUUACACUCUGAAAAUGAUAACAAGCACUGGAAAGUUGGAGGCCGGUUAAUGUUGUCACAGGAGAAUAAUACACAAUGAAUUCUGUCUAAAUGAGCACCUGAUAUAAAAGACGAACAAUGAUAAGACUAAGAAAUCCAUAUUCACUAUCCACUGUGCUACUCUCCAGUGGUAAUGUUUAUAUGCAGAUAGCCACUUAAAUGAAUAUCUUAUGAAUAACUCAAAGUCAGAGAGAAAAACAAGUCCUUCUGUAAAUAGAUAAAACAAAUUACAAGAUGUCUUUUAGGAUGAAUCUCUUUGAACGCAUUGUACUUGAGGGGCAAGGGGGGAGUUCAGUAUUUUGCAGCUGUACUAGAAACGAACAGAGAGACCUUCCCCAUUCUCAUUCUGAAUAUUUUGUUUCAUGUGAUACGGAACUGGAUUUGUUACAGUAUUAAAGUCAAAA
rnacentral:lncRNA from 1 species